CCUACGGGAGGCAGCAGUGGGGAAUUUUGGACAAUGGGCGCAAGCCUGAUCCAGCCAUGCCGCGUGUGGGAAGAAGGCCUUCGGGUUGUAAACCACUUUUGUCAGGGAAGAAACGGCUUUUUCUAAUACAGAGAGCUAAUGACGGUACCUGAAGAAUAAGCACCGGCUAACUACGUGCCAGCAGCCGCGGUAAUACGUAGGGUGCAAGCGUUAAUCGGAAUUACUGGGCGUAAAGCGUGCGCAGGCGGCUUUGCAAGACAGAUGUGAAAUCCCCGGGCUCAACCUGGGAACUGCAUUUGUGACUGCAUGGCUAGAGUGCGGUAGAGGGGGAUGGAAUUCCGCGUGUAGCAGUGAAAUGCGUAGAUAUGCGGAGGAACACCGAUGGCGAAGGCAAUCCCCUGGACCUGUACUGACGCUCAUGCACGAACGACGUGGGAGGACGAAACAGGAGUAGUAUACCGUACGGUACGUACCGACCGACCCGUAAACCGAACUAGUACUACUAGGUUGGUUGGUACGGUCGUU
rnacentral:rRNA from 1 species